CGUCAUGAACAUAUAUGUUCAUCUCAGCGCAAAUCACGUUUUGCAUGCUAUAGAAGGAGGGGGGAUCAAUACUCUUCCUUUCGUGUUUUGAUAUCUUGUUGUUUUGCUACUCUCACUUCGGAGUUCGGAUGGUGUCUAGCAACGUUGGGUACCUCGUUUCUUGUGUGUGUGAGCGAGUGGUUGCUGUUUACGAUGUGUUCAUAUAUCGCUUUGUAGUGCUGUAAUGUGCAAAUUAGCGGACUUUAUAGCGGCUCUCUAUUUUCCGUCGUUGUCUUUCGAGCAGCGCCUGUUGUUCCGGUAAAAAUCGAGUUGAAUGAAUUGCCACAGCCCCAACGUAUAUCGCGCAGUGUUGACCAAGACCAAGUCAAGCAGGAAUUCUGGCAUGGUAUGUGGCUGCACGAAAGAUUCCGAAAAAGAAAAACAACAACAUGGCUAAUAGGAUGUUGCUGCCCAGGGAGUCCUGGCGAAGAGGUUUACUCAUUCCAGAAGCAAGAAUUGUAUCAUUGUAAGGCGAAUGGAAAUAAACUGACAUCGACUGAGAUAGGUGCUCUGUCAUGGCCAAU